rnacentral:lncRNA from 1 species
UCUCUCUCUCUCUCUCUCUAGAAGAUGAAGAUGCAGCAAACACCAGCACAACCUAAACCCAUUUGAUUUCCCGUUGAUGUACAAUCCCCACCCCACAUGUCGAUUUAUUGGAAUCGAUUUCAUCAUCUCUCAUUUCAAGAUCUGGGGUUGCAGGCGUGUUAUCUCCUUCUUCCCUAAAUGUUGAUUUUAUCAUCUGUCGAUUUCUUGUCGAUGUACACUGUCAAGACCUUCAUCUCCAUUACAAUAAUUUGAGAGCCAUCAUCAAGAAUCACCAUCAGAUCGACGAAACUAAAGCAACACCAUAAAUUAUUUCUAAGUUCUUGAAUCUAGUCCGAAAAACAUGAGCCUCCGUUUCUCAUCGCAAGAUUCGAUUUUAAUCUUCAUUUUUUGAGGUUUCGCUCAACAUUUCAACAUCUGGUUCAAGAAUAAGUUUGCUCGUAGGUUAUAGCUUACAUCUCUAUAUUUGUUCAAGAAUUCCUUCUUGUUCGUUUUUUAAACAAUUAAAUUAAAUGGAAUUUUUUUUCCAGAUUCCGGAAAAAGCAGGCAGUCUCGCCAGAGAAGAUGAAGGAAUGAGAGGCAUUCUACGAAAAUGGUGGUGCUAGGAACUCGAUGUGGAAUGGUUGCUUGAUCUGUAAUCGAUUUCAAUUUCAUCAGAUUUCCAGUGAGUAAUUGUCUUCCUCGGAGGCUCUGAAAGAAUAUAUUCAACCAUGAUCGAUUGUUCUUCCUUAGGGAUGAAUAUACAAGCACAAAUCAAUUUUUAGAAACAAAAACCACACAUACAAAUCGAUUUCAUACUUUUUUCUAGGUUUUUAGUUCCUAAAUCAAUUUUAAAGGACAAACGAGUUCGUAUUCAUUUUCUGGGGUUUUUUUUUUUGAUGUUCCAGAUUUAUUUUGGUGUUUCAGAUUUAAUUUUGAUUUUUUUCUACUUCUAGAAAUGGUUUAGGAGUUAUGAAAUGUUUUUUUUUAUGUUUGUAUGUAUGUGUUGUUGGUGCCAUG